GAGAGAGAGAGAGAGAGAAAGGGGAGUGCGAGAGGAACAACUUCUGUCCCGUUUGUCCAAGAAAAAGCUCCUUUUUACCUUAAAAAUAAAAGCGGUGCGACUCUGGGGACGGAGCUAAAUGUCAGCGUGGACGCGGUGAGGAAAAUCUCACUUUAGUUUCUUUGCUUAUUUCUUCAGGACUUCGUACAGAAAGACACCUGCUGCGAGGAAAAAGGUGAACUGAGUUAGAGAGGGGAGAUUUUUGGGGGCGACCCGCAUCGUCGUGGUUUCCUUUCCCUUUUCUCCGCUUUUUCUUUCCGAAAGGGAGAUGACAGAGAAAAAGAUCGGAGCACCAGGGAUGGCCCUGUGUAGCCGGUGGCGAGCCGUGGUGGCUGUGUGUGUGACCGCCAUGGUCCUGGCCGGACUGGGAGCGGCGAUCUGGGCCCUGGCUACAUACAUAAAGACAGCAGAAGACAUGGGUUUAUAUGACGUGCAGGUGAGUGUGGCGGACCAGAGACUGCGGGUGUUUGACUCCGCCCAGCGGCGGUGGAGACACGUCUGCUCGUCCGGCGCCAACCAGCUGCUCGCCUCCAUCAGCUGUGAGGAGAUGGGCUUCGUCAGGGCGAUAAAUUUCUCCGUCACGUGCGCUCCUGAUAGCAGCAGCAGCAGCCACGAGUUCUUCUGCGUCAAAGAGAGCGAGUUAACCUACGGCAAGAAGAUCAGCACCGCGCUCUACCCGUGUAAAUGUGAAAAAGGACAGAUUGUUCAAGUGCUUUGUCAAGAUUGUGGGAGGCGUAUGCUUCCCGAGGAGCGGAUUGUAGGAGGUGUGGAUGCGCGUCAGGGCUCGUGGCCGUGGCAGGUCAGUCUGCAGUAUGACGGAGUUCAUCAGUGUGGAGGAUCCAUUAUAUCAGACCGCUGGAUCGUCAGUGCUGCACACUGCUUCCCUGAGAGAUAUCGCCACGUGUCCCGGUGGAGGGUUCUGAUGGGUUCCAUCUACAACACACCCAUCCAUAAGAACGUGGUGAUCGCUGAGGUCAAGACGGUGGUGUAUCACAGCAGCUACCUGCCCUUCGUCGACGCUAACAUUGACGACAACAGCCGCGAUAUCGCCGUGCUCUCACUCACCAAGCCUCUGCAGUUCACCGACUACAUCCAGCCCGCUUGUUUGCCCACCUACGGCCAGCGGCUAGUGGACGGUCAGAUCGGCACGGUGACGGGCUGGGGAAACGUCGAGUAUUACGGCACGCAGGCGGCGAUCCUCCAGGAGGCGCACAUUCCCAUAAUCAGUGACACCGUCUGUAACGCCCCCGAUUACUACGACAACCAGGUCACCACCACCAUGUUCUGUGCCGGUUAUGAGAAAGGAGGAACCGAUUCCUGUCAGGGAGACAGCGGUGGUCCCUUUGUAGCGGCCGACUGUUUGUCUAAGACAAGCCGCUACAGGCUGCUGGGCGUGGUCAGCUGGGGGACGGGCUGCGCCAUGGCAAAGAAACCCGGCGUCUACACCCGAGUGUACCGCUUCCUGCCCUGGAUAUCCAGCGCCAUGAGGCCCCUCCCCCUUUCCUUUUCACCUUCCUGAAUUCGGAAUUUUGCAAAGUUUGCAAAGCAUCCAGGGAAAUCAGGGACUAUAUAUACACACGGCGAGCGCACUGACGUAAAUAAGAGAGCGCAGGUGCGGGCGAUGACGUGAGGGUGUGCGGACGUGCUGUGGGAGGGGGCGGAGCCUGAGCCGGACCGCGGCAGAAGUGCGACAUCGCUCAGUGUGUAUACAAAUGAUCUGCGCCCUAAACUUAUGAAAAUUCCCCCGGAGUCCAUAAAAUGGCUCGUGCAUCCACGGUGUAGGUGACCUGAGACUCGAAUCUGUCUGGAAAAAAAACACCGAGAUGGGGUCUGCCAUGGACGUCACGAAGUCCCCAAGACCAAAACAGUUGAUCAGAAAGAAGCCCAGUCUCCUGUCACCUCGCCGUCGCUCAGACUGACGCCUCGAACCUUAAUUCUGACCAUUUCAGUAAUUCUAAAAUGCCACAGUAUAGAGGAGGGGUCUACAGAAACGUCCAAUGCAGGGGUGGGGGGGGUGGAUUUAUUCGGACUUGCAGAGAGAAAGCUACUCAAUUUACAUGUCUAGAGGUGCUAGCAUCGUGAGGGAGAAUUUUACUAGAAAAAAAAAAGCGAUAGCGUAUAUAUCAGCAGGCGGCGAAAACGCUUAUUUUAUGCAAAUUUUUUACGAGAUUCUAAUAGGUCUACAGAGUAAUGCAAUUCAUAAUAAAUUAAUCGUGUGUGUUUGUGUUUUUGUAGAUCUGAGCGUAAAGGAUUUAACGUUUUUUAUAUGUCUAUUGUUUCGUCACAAGGACGCUUUACAGAAAUCAAAAACAAAAAAAAUGAAAGAUAUAAAAGAUCAAAUGAAGUAAUCAGUAUAUUAUAUAAAUAUAUAAUAUACUUAUAUAUAUAUAUUAUAUAAAAAUAGUCUACGUUAUGAAAGAAAUGUUUUUUUUUGUUUUUUUAAAAUUCUGCUUUUAUUAUUGAGUUGUUGGUUUGUCAGUAAAGAAUCUCAGCGUCACUCUCUUCCCACACACGCAGGUCAAAGAUAAAAAAAUUUCCGCUUCACGUACGCAGACGGACGAUAAAUGUCGGCGCCUCCGCUUGCUGCUCGAUGGAACCUUUAGUUAUCAAUCUUUCAUCUGGAAAUAGUUCUGUAAAAAUAGAGAAAUCAUGAAAACUCGGAAGAAUCGUACUACAGGACGCCCCGGAGACCAGGCUCAGUUACAGUAAGCACCUCAUUUGUUUGUUCCUGUGAAUUUAGAAAGUCAGAGCUGGGACGAAAAUUAUUAUGACGGGGAAAAAUUCUUAACUAGCAUCAGUUUUAUGCAGGUUUUAAUAAAUUAUGUCCACCAGGCUUGUGCGAUGUCCAUUUUGAAACGUUAAUAAAGACAGGAGAGCGAAUGUUUCCACCAUUUCUGGUCUGAGGUGGACACGGCCUGCUGUAAUAUCAUUAGCCGUGUGGUCAGAAGAGACGCCUUCUCAGCUGGAGGCGGGGCUUACGGGGAUGUUUUUGAUCAUUUUCUGUUAUAAAUUUGUUCUUUUAUUCCACACGACCAAAAAACGUUUCACUGAUGCCACUGCUCUUAGUGCUUUCUCGAAAACCUCUUUCAUAUCAAUUAACUAUAUUUAUUAAAAAAUCCACUGAAAAAAAACGGGUUUCAGCCAAAAAUCUUUGAGAAAUUCUUUAAAAAAUAAUAAUAAUUUAAUCAUUUUUUUUAAUAUAAUAACUUAAAUUAGAAUGAACUGAUAUUUUAGGAAACGUUAAAACUUGUUUUAUUUCUUAAUGUUGAUCAACUCAAAAUAGUUUUUAUUUCCUGAGACGGAAAGAGAGGACGCCUUAAGAUGAGCUGGGGUUAGUGGGCGGGGCUUCCAGGCAGGGUCAGUGUUGAAAAUGACUAUACAGAUCAAUCCAGAUUUAUAUUAAUCUACAUACUGCUUCCUGUCCUCUUUUUAUGGAGAGGAAACGACGACUAUUUUGGCACGUUUCAUUAAAUUGAAUUGCGUAGCUCUAACGCUAAAGGCAUAACGUGAUAUACGGGAGCAGAUGCCGCUGGACAUCAUGGCAGCGUAAUAAGAGACGUAGAGACGAUUAAUCGGUUAUAUCGCACAAGCCUAGCGUCCAGUCGCUUUUUAUUGACUCGGAUUAACGACGGAAUACCGGAGAGGUUCUGUGUGGAAAGCUACAGAGCUGUGACGCUGAAUAAAACUCUUAUAAGGUGAUAUAUUUUACUAUAAGAUCAUUUAGAAGCCAUGGCUUACAAUAUCGUUUUGAAAUAAAGCGUAGGAUUAAAUCCAUGAAAUCCGCACAUUUAUAGAGUUCUGAACGUUUUACUGUUCCGGUUUUCAGUCUGGAUUUAAAACGAUGUUCAUUUUACGUUUAUCCCGUGUUUUUCUCUUUUCUUUCAUCGUUAUCGUUUUCUCUUCUUCGCUAACGGCUGUGGACGAGCAGUGAUAUAAACCAAAGACUGCUUCAUUCUUCAUUUAGCCGCCGUAGUAUUAAAGCGGCAGUCAGUAUUUUUUUUUUUUCCUCGUGACUUGUGUUUAUUGUACAGUAAAAUAUCUUCGACAACGCGUCAGACAUCACUGUUUUAAUUGUUAUUCCGUUGUACUUCUGGCUACACGUUGUACACGCACUCUUUUAUAGCUACGUAUUUAAAUAUAAUUUACAGCAAAAUUACCGAAAAAAAAUUCAGUCGCUCUAGAAAACUCGGAGUUUUGUAUUUAAGGCGGAUCGAUGUAAAAGAUCCCGGAAUUCCCAGCGAGCUUUCGUUAUUUUUUUGUCGUAAUAUUGUUUAUUAGUUGCACUUCCUGUCCUUGAUGUUGAUGAGAGUCGAGGUAAUUGAUGUGAAUAGAUGUACAUGACUGAGAUUGUGACCUCUUUAAUGUUUGAUAUAAACGUCGUUUUCACUGUAAAUGUUAAACCAUGGGCAUUGAAAUAAAAUCCUAAUUAUAGAUAGA